rfam:Trichomonas vaginalis G3, whole genome shotgun sequence.
GUAGUCUGCCAUACGCAGGAAGACCCGCUGAACUGAAGCAUCUCAUUAAGCGGAGGAAAAGAAACUAACUAGGAUUCCCUUAGUAAAGGCGAUCGAAAAGGGAACAGCCCAACGUCUUAAUCCCGCAAGGGAAAUGUAGUCGGUUCACCUAUUGCACUGGUCUAAGUCAGAUGGAAUGCUGCGCGAUUCAGAGUAAAAGCCUCGUAUGACCAACCGCAAGCUUACGAUGGACCGGGGAGAGUCGGAUACUUUGAGAGUAGUGUCUUAAGGGGGUGGUAUGUCCCAUCCAAGGCUAAAUAACGUGAGGAGACCGAUAGAUUACAAGUAGUGUGAACGAAAGAUGAAAAGAACUCUAAAACAGAGGGUGAAAAGUUCCUGAACUUGCUUAGGGUUAAGGCUAUUUAUAGUACCCGUCUUGAAACACGGAUUAGGGAGUUUAUCUGUAGUGCGAGUCUUUGCACGUUAACUGUAAAGGCGUAGAGAAAGCAACUGGCGUUUGCAUGGCUACUGAGCAUUACUGAUAGGACCCGAAAGGUGGUGAACUUUGCCUGCACAGGUUGAAGUCAGGGGAAACUCUGAUGGAGGACCGUACGGGUUAUUGAUGUGCAAAUCAUUUUUCUGAUGUAGGUAAAGGUGCGAAAGACUCAUCGAACCACCUAAUAGCUGGUUUCUUCCCGAAUUUUCCCCCGGAUAGCUGUAAUGCUUUUAUUUAAAGGGAAGUAAGAUUAGGGUAGAGGUGCAGGGAGCCCUUCGGGUUCUC